rnacentral:rRNA from 1 species
ACGGAAGGCAGCAGUAGGGAAUCUUCCGCAAUGGACGAAAGUCUGACGGAGCAACGCCGCGUGAGUGAUGAAGGUUUUCGGAUCGUAAAACUCUGUUGUUAGGGAAGAACAAGUACCGUUCGAAUAGGGCGGCACCUUGACGGUACCUAACCAGAAAGCCACGGCUAACUACGUGCCAGCAGCCGCGGUAAUACGUAGGUGGCAAGCGUUGUCCGGAAUUAUUGGGCGUAAAGCGCGCGCAGGCGGUUUCUUAAGUCUGAUGUGAAAGCCCCCGGCUCAACCGGGGAGGGUCAUUGGAAACUGGGGAACUUGAGUGCAGAAGAGGAGAGUGGAAUUCCACGUGUAGCGGUGAAAUGCGUAGAGAUGUGGAGGAACACCAGUGGCGAAGGCGACUCUCUGGUCUGUAACUGACGCUGAGGCGCGAAAGCGUGGGGAGCGAACAGGAUUAGAUACCCUGGUA